UACGUAGGGGGCAAGCGUUGUCCGGAUUUAUUGGGCGUAAAGAGCGUGUAGGCGGCCAGGUGGGUCAGCUGUGAAAACUCGAGGCUCAACCUCGAGACGCCGGUUGAAACCAUCUGGCUAGAGUCCGGAAGAGGAGAGUGGAAUUCCUGGUGUAGCGGUGAAAUGCGCAGAUAUCAGGAAGAACACCCGUGGCUAAGGCGGCUCUCUAGUACGGUACUGACGCUGAGACGCGAAAGCGUGGGGAGCGAACAGG
rnacentral:rRNA from 1 species